rnacentral:lncRNA from 1 species
GAUCCUAUUACAGAUCUGGUUCAAUUUAUAUUGGCUUGAAGACAUUAUUAGAAAUCGAUUAAUUCUACUAGACUGGUUUUAGUGGAUUUCAAACUUUUACAUUUUUUUUUUGGCUCGAACUUUUCCAAAAAAAAAACCAAUCUGUAAAAAAAAGUUAAGAACCCAAACCUAAACAGUACCAAAGCUUGAGCACUCCUUCCUCGCCCGUCUACAAAUCAGGUUUUUUUGUUUUUUUUAAUAAUCUACAUAUCAAAUUUAACGACUUUUAAGUUUUAAUAUUGUCAUUUGUCUAAAAUUAAUUUCCAUUAAAAAAACAAUAAAACAAUCCAUAAAUAAGAUAUGUAGAUCAUGUCCAGCAGCUAAAGUCCAUUACGGC